CAAGUACUGUGGCUCUUUUGCCCCAUGGCCAAGAUGGCCAAGCCAACAUCAAAGUUAGUUCACUAACUUUUAAUUCUAGUUAUUAUUAUUAUUUGUAUGAAAGGCUCGUAGAGAAAUUCGGUCUUUUGUGGAAGGGACUCUUAUUUUGAUAGUUGUAGACUGUAUUUCUACGUACAUCCAGUAGGAGGCAUUAUUGUACAAGUUUGCUGCCUGAUGACUGUUUACUAAGAGAACGGCAGCUGCACACAAGUUUUUCCUGCCUGUUAUUUUGGAUGUUUUUCGGGGUUUGGUGUUUCAAAGUGUUAGUUCAUGAUCAUAAAAUGGACAGAGAGUGGAAAGUAAUAGAUCAGAUGAGGAGAUGGAGAUAGAGGAAGAAAAAGAGGGAAAUGUAGAGGCACACAUGACAGAAAGAAAGCAGGAAAACUUAUUCUGGAACAACAGUGUGGGAUGUGAGAUGAGAACAGAGACACUUUGAGCUUUAACCACUAACCAUCGACCAACUGCUGACUGAUGAGGAAACAUCAUUAGCUUCUGAGAGACAAAGACAAACUGAACCACAGUGAUCUGAACUGAAGACAGCGACUGUAACACAUUUCAGUUUCAUUCAGCAACAUGAACGGUGAAAAUCAGACCUUGAUGGAUGAGCAAAGUUAUUAUUUUGAUACUGGUUAUUAUUACAAUAUUACUGAUUAUCUGAUUGAUGAAACUCAAUAUGAUUCUUCAGAAAUCAUUAUAGUAAUCUUCUUCAUCACUAGUGUUUGUGUGGGUCUUCCAGCUCUGGUUUGGGCUCUUCGUCUUCUGCACCUUCACAGAAAGAUCAGAGACCGAAUCUCAGUCUUCAUCCUCCUCCUCCUCCUCAAUGACCUGAUACAAUUACCCCUUCAUCUAUAUAUACUGGCAUAUAUACUGACAGAAUUAGAAUCCUUUAUCGAUGCGGUUAUCCAGCUUUGGUCAGGAUUACAUUGGUGUGGUUUUCAUCUGCAUCAGCUGGUGGCUCUGGAGGGGAUUUUGACUCUGAAAUAUCCGCUUUGUUCUGCUCGUAUUUUCUCACUGCCCUGUUACAUCAUAAUCUCCACCCUUGUGCUUUUUUUUUCUAUAGUGAGUGCAUUAUUUAUUUUCACAAAUUCAGAAAAUAGAAACAUGUCAUUAUUCAGUCUCAGCACAAGUUUUGUUCCUCUGAUCUUAUUGGCUGUAUCAUCUAUAAUCAGCUGUAAAGCCUCUUCCACUCCUGUCAGAAAAAACAGUUCGGUGCUCACUGUUGCUAUUCUUACAUUUGUUUUGAUGUACUUACCUUUCAUGUUCCUCAUCUGGGUGGAUUUACUUAAUUUAGAUCCAUAUGUCAACCAAUCUUGGUGGGUAAUAUCUUUCUGUUUGAUUAAUUUGAGAGUGAUUUCAGGCCCUAUUCUGUGUGUUUUGGUCUGUAGAGAAAAUCUCAGAGAUGUUCAGACGCCACAAACACACACAGAACCCAACGCUGAUGAGACGUCAUUCUGAACUUGAGUUUCAUUAGUCCUCACGUCUGAAUCUGGCUUCAAAACAUACACCCAUCAGUAUAAUGAAAAUUAUUAAUAAAAUAAAUAAUAUAUGACUUAAAGAUUGAUUCAUUUUAAAUGUCUGUGAUUGCUAAAAGUGAAAGUGUGCUCUCUAUGCCAAAAACAGCACAAAUUGAGUUUUUAUCUCUUUAAUGGUCAUUUUGGCAGUUUGUUUAAUAUUGUAAUAUAAAAAUUAUACGUAAAAAAAAAGUUAAAUCUAAAUGUCAAGUUUGUUGUUUAUGAUUGAUUUCAAUAUUCAUCAAUUGAAAGUCUGGUAACCGGACUUCCCAUAUACAAAAAAAGUGUAACAUUCAAUGUGAUUUCAGCUGUCAAUCAUCCAUAUAUUAGAAUAAAACAUCUAACACAA